UGUUAUAAAAUCAAGUUGUUUCGAGAUAUAAAGAGAAAAAUUGAAGAAAAGGUUGUGAAUUAAUUGGAAGACGAAUAAUUUAAUUGGACAGUUUAUUACGUGUGCGCCGGUAUAGAAAUAUUAUACAAAUUCGAAGACGAUUCGAAUAGAUUACGAAAAUGUUAGGUCUACGGUGUUCUCCCUUUCAAAACAUGUACAUUACGAGAGGAGCGGUGAUGGAACGAUUCUAUACAAACAUCUAAACGAAUCACCACUAAAACGAACCACUAAUUAGCGACAACGAGGUUAGGAUCAGGAGGAAGGGGAGGGUUAGAGACGAUAUUUACAAUACAAUUCAGUGCGUUUCCGUGUUCACAUGAAGUUUCGCACACUUUGGUAUUAAUCGAAUGUACAUAUGUACCUGCGUUUACAAUAUGACUUGUUACAACAUAAAUCAGGGAGUAAUGCGCUAUCGUCAAUGUUACUUGCAUUUUUUAUGUUUUUUUUUUUAAUCCUUUAUACAUAACUCGGCUAUUCGUGUAAUCAAUAUUAUGAAUUAGCUGCGCCUGGCGGUACAUCAUGAUUCAAAUUUAUAUGUAGUGGACACAACUAUAUUUACAGUGAGACAGUCGUUCACUUCUGUAUUCACAACAAUGCGGACGAAGGAACAGAGUUGGAAAUGUCAACGACAAGUUGUACGAGUUGGAAUAAAAAUGGUUGAUGAUCAGUAAAUCACGUAGCCAUCCGUAAUGGUACUAUUUGUUCUCGCAGACUACGAUUCUCUUCAAGCACUUAUUGAAAGAAGACCACGAAGAAAG